UUGCUUCAGCAGCCCAUAUACAGAAAUUGGAACAAUACAGAGAAGAUUAACUUGGCCCUGUGCAAAGAUGACACCCACAUUUGUGAAGCGUUCCAUAUUUUU